CAUCACAAACCUACGACCUUCUUCUCACCCCAGUUCAUUUCCCUUGUUAGAAGUCCCUUCUCGCCAUCUUUCUUAGCUAUGGGUCAUAUUUCAAUUCCUCCACUUGAAUGGUUUUAUUAAUUUUGGAGUGAUCUGGAUAAUUGGGUGCAACGUCUUAUUUUAUAAGAAGCUAAGUAUAUGAUUAAUUUUGUCUAUGCGUUCUUGUUUCUAUAUUCAUGUGUUCGGGUUCUUCUUCAAUAUAGAAAAUCUUUAUUUGAUGUUGGUGGGAGGAAGAUGAAUCCAAAGUUGCUUCUAUUGUAAAAAUAAAUAAAAGAACUGUCCAAAUGCUUGAAUUCAUAACAAAUUGAGUAGAAUCGUCUAUGAGAAAAAAAUGUGGAAAAACUGAGUUCGUGUUCAAUUCGGGGAUCCGUCGAGGAUCAAAGUUUUAUGUUAGCUGCUGAUUCGGGGCGCCGUUCGAGGUUCUAAUUCCGGUUCGUGUGUCUGUUUUAUAGCUUGCUCAAGAUUCACUGUUUUGGAGCUUCCAUUACUAUAGCCGUCGGGAAAUUUUCAUCAAAUCAAGGUGUGAAUUUACUUACCGGAGUUUGGGCAUGACAGAUACCCCAGGAUCACUGCAUUCAGAAGUUGCUCGAGGAGUCAUUUUAUAUUUUUGAGUCAAUUGUUCAUAUUUUACUUUCUAGUCAUGUAUAGUAGUAUUCGGUCUUUUGGGUGAUGUUAGAGUUUGUAAUAGUCUAGUUAAGUUCGCCUAGUCUUUUGUUAUUGUAUUCCUUAUUUGGUAUUU